GGUAGCACCAGGCACAACCUACAUAAGACUGAUUAAAAUAUAUUGACCUGGUAAAUGAGAGUUAGGCUACCUUGUAAAAGUAAUCCACCUUCUCUCUAAUUUUGAGCAACAAGUCCUGAUGUCUUGUCCAUUUCCUCUCCUUUUAUAAGACACUGUUAUGUGUGGUCUGACUCCUCUUUCCCUCUGCUCCUUCACUUAAAAAAAGUGCAAACAUUCAGCUAUUCACAGGAAUCCUGCUGUUCUCCUAGACAUUUUACCAUCAGCCUUGUGACAUUGGCAAUUUGGAUCAUUUUGCACUAAGCAUAUUUCAUUGUACAAUUAUAACAUCGGGACUGUGUCAGGAACUGUGCAACCCCAGCAAGUAAGUUGUGUGUCUGUGGAGGGAAUCAGGGGCAGUAUCUUUGCAAUGGCAACCAUUUUGAGCUUCAGUUCAGGCCAGUACAGUCACAGUGAAGGAAAUAUAAUUCAGUAUGGAGAAGAUUUCCAUUCUAUGCACAGAGUGUGUUCUGCUAAAAAGGAAGAAACAAAGCCAUCUUAUUUAUUAAAGGUACAUUUCUUGUGACCUUUUAAGAACAGACAUAAUUACAUAUGUCUUCUCUUCAACUGUAUAAUGUAUAAAUAGCAUAUCUUUGUUAUUAAUUAUGAAUGG
rnacentral:lncRNA from 1 species